UGAUUCCUAUUCCUAUUCCUAUUGCUGAGGCAUCACAUUAUUAAGUGGAUGAGAUGAGAUGGGGUUCUGGGGACUAAAAACGCGUGCCACCCCCGAGUUGCAAAAUAAUUCCCCCUCCCCGCCUCGUAUUCCUGAUUAGCUUGGGGCUAAACUUAUUAUUGGCGGCCGACCGAGUGAGCUACGGCUCGUCGGCCUGCUGCUGGAGGCUGUCCCUCGUGUCAGAAAGCUACUACUAUAACACCGUAUGCUGCGGCGGCUAAAAUUUUCUGUUCGUCUGAAGAAGAUGCAAGGUAUACUGCGUAAAAAUAAAGUAAAAUUAUUGAAGUUAAUACGAGUCAGUACUUGGUAGUUUGUUAAACUAUGACAGAAUCUACGACAGUAGUAUCUAAUAAUAACCACCUUCAAGCAAC
rnacentral:sRNA from 2 species